rnacentral:rRNA from 1 species
GAUGUACGCUGACAGAAUGCUUAACACAUGCAAGUCGAUGGGGAAGUGGUGCUUGCACCAUGGCAACCAUGGCGGACGGGUGAGUAACGCGUAAGGGACUUACCUGCAGGACUGGGAUAACAGGGGGAAACUCCUGACAAGACCGGAUAAUGUCAUGGAGCUGCAUGGCUUUAUGAUGAAAGGAGACGCCUGCGGAGAGCCUUGCGUCCUAUUAGCUAGUUGGUGAGGUAAUGGCUCACCAAGGCGAAGAUAGGUAGCCGGCCUGAGAGGGUGGACGGCCACAAGGGGACUGAGAUACGGCCCUUACUCCUACGGGAGGCAGCAGUGGGGAAUAUUGGACAAUGGGGGCAACCCUGAUCCAGCAAUUCUGUGUGCACGAAGAAGGUUUUCGGAUUGUAAAGUGCUUUCAGCAGGGAAGAAGUAAGUGACGGUACCUGCAGAAGAAGCGACGGCUAAAUACGUG